UACGUAGGUGGCAAGCGUUGUCCGGAUUUAUUGGGUUUAAAGGGUGCGUAGGCGGCCGAGUAAGUCAGCGGUGAAAUUUUGCAGCUUAACUGUAACAGUGCCGUUGAUACUGCAUGGCUAGGAUUUGGUUGCUGUGGGUGGAAUGUGUGGUGUAGCGGUGAAAUGCUUAGAUAUCACACAGAAUAUCAAUUGCGAAGGCAGCUCACAAAGCCAAGAUUGACGCUGAGGCACGAAAGCGUGGGGAUCAAACA
rnacentral:rRNA from 1 species